UCGGCCGUAAACACCCAAUCAUCAGUAGGCCGA
rfam:Theiler's-like virus of rats NGS910 genomic RNA, complete genome.